CCGGGUGGCACGCCGAAUCCCGCCCCGCCCGGCGCACAUCAGAUCUGAGGGUGGGAGCGGGGGACCCAAGUGUUCCCGGGCGUUGUUUCUGGACGUCCUUGGGGUGAAGCCGUCAGCGCUUUGCGGCGCGGAUAUGUGUGCGGCCGGGCGAUUCCCAGCCCGAACCCGACAGCUAACUUCGUAGGCGUGGGGAGGGACAUU
rnacentral:sRNA from 2 species